AAAAAAAAUUAUUUUGUUCAUUUUGUUCAUUUUUUUUCUUCCUUUUCUUCCCUCCUUUGCAUCCUUUUUCUCUACCACUCUCCGUUCACCCUCUACCACAACCGCACCUCCACGCCGUCGUGCUCUCCUUCCCUUUUAUCCUCAAUUAUUGCGAUGAGGAUUUUGCGGCACCCUCUUCGCCGUUGCCGUUACUGUCAUCGUCCAUGACUGUACACUACAACAAAAUUAGGUCAUAGGGACAUAUAUUUUGGACACUUUUGUGUAAGUGUUCAAUUUAUUCCAAAACAUUAAAAAAAAUCUACUAAGGCCUAAAUAUAAAGCCCAAUCUAACCAAAAAUAAAAGGUUGCUACUCAACCCACCCCACCCAGCCCAUUCAUCCCGAUUACAAACAAAAAAGGAAAAAAAAAAGAAAAGAAAAAUCGAUUACCAUUUCCACUUCUCCCCUCACUCAAUCCACUGAAACCCUAGACGAAGAGCGUCUCGCUCUCCUCCUCCUCCGUGCGGCAGUCGACGAGGUAGGGUUCUGGCGAUUGCUAAAUGCUUAAAUAAGUGUUGGUAAAUUAGCAGCAUUUUUUUUUAAGUUAUACCGACACUCUUAAAAUGUCACUAUAUACCUAGCGACCCCACAUAUAGCAACACUUUUUAAAAAUGUCAGUAAUUUAGCUAACAGUACUUUUUUUGACCUGUACCAACAUUUAAAAGUGUCGCUAUCUACCUUUUUUGUUGUAGUGAUAUAGUCUCACCUUUAUGAUUUGUGCCAUAUCAGAGCCCCCGUCGCCGCCAUGGGAGUUAGCAAAGGUGCGGAUGAGGUAGACGAGAGGCGUAGCAUUAACUUAGGUUUGGAGGAGGAGGAGGAGGUCGAGGGCGAGAAAGUGAAAUGAGAAAAAGAGAGGAAGGAACGACGACAAGGAAGGAGACAAAUAGAGAUGAGAAAAGCGAACAAGAAAGAGAAGAGACAAAAGGAGGAAAAUGAUAUUUUGAUCAGUUUACUAAAAAUCCAGACUUAAUAUGUAAAAUUCAAAAAAGUAGCUUAUUUUUACAAAAACACAAAACCACUAAAUUUUUUAUGCCAAUUAGCUAUUUUUAAUCUACGAUAAAAAUAAAAUGAAAUAUUAUUAAGAAUACAGAUACCAAAUUAAAAUUUUAUAAACAAUUCAAUAUCAC
rnacentral:lncRNA from 1 species